GGGGAAUUUUACACAAUGGGGGAAACCCUGAUGUAGCAACGCCGCGUGGAGGAUGACGGAUCUAGGUCUGUAAACUCCUUUUAUAAGGGAAGAAAUUUGACGGUACCUUAUGAAUAAGCACCGGCUAACUCCGUGCCAGCAGCCGCGGUAAUACGGGGGGUGCAGGCGUUACUCGGAAUCACUGGGCGUAAAGGGAGCGUAGGCGUUUUAUUAAGUCUUGAGUGAAAGCUCGCAGCUCAACUGCGGAACUGCUCAGGAAACUGAUAGAAUUGAGUAUGGAAGAGGUAGGUGGAAUUUCCGGUGUAGGGGUAAAAUCCGUAGAUAUCGGAAGGAAUACCAGAAACGAAGGCGACCUACUGGGACAUUACUGACGCUGAGGCUCGAAAGCGUGGGGAGCAAACA
rnacentral:rRNA from 1 species